AUGAUUAGCUUGUUGAUGUAUAUGAUGGGAUUCUAUAGCUUGCAUGAAUCCCUUCACUAGGAAAUUGCCAAAUACUUGUCCACAUUCUUCUGGACAGGACAGAGUGAUCGACAGAAAUAUCACAUGGUUAAAGAGUCUGAUAUAUGUAAGCCCAAAGAACAAGGCAGCCUAGGGGUCAUUUCCUCCAAGCGGAUGAACAUCGCCUUGCUAUCCAAGUGGUUGUGGCGCAUUCGAACCGAUGAAGGGGGGUUGUGGCUCCAGAUUAUCCGCGCAAUGUAUUUGCAUGGACAACCCCUAGCUUUCGCCCCCAGAGCAAGUGGUUCCCAAUUCUAGCAGUCGAUCAUACAAUUGUUGCCGGCUCUUUGGAUAGGAUCUUUGAUCUCGGUUGGGUCUGGUACCAAAACAUUAUUUUGGCUAGAUCAGCCGUCGGGCGCUAGAUUUGCGGAACAAUUCUAG
rnacentral:rRNA from 1 species